UACGGAGGAUCCAAGCGUUAUCCGGAAUCAUUGGGUUUAAAGGGUCCGUAGGCGGCCUUAUAAGUCAGUGGUGAAAUCUCCUAGCUCAACUAGGAAACUGCCAUUGAUACUGUAGGGCUUGAAUUAUUGUGAAGUAACUAGAAUAUGUAGUGUAGCGGUGAAAUGCUUAGAUAUUACAUGGAAUACCAAUUGCGAAGGCAGGUUACUAACAAUAUAUUGACGCUGAUGGACGAAAGCGUGGGUAGCGAACAGGAUUAGAUACCCUGGUAGUCCACGCCGUAAACGAUGGAUACUAGCUGUUGGGGGCAACUUCAGUGGCUAAGCGAAAGUGAUAAGUAUCCCACCUGGGGAGUACGAACGCAAGUUUGAA
rnacentral:rRNA from 1 species